rnacentral:rRNA from 1 species
GAUGAACGCUGGCGGCGUGCCUAAUACAUGCAAGUCGAGCGAACAGAUGAGGAGCUUGCUCCUCUGACGUUAGCGGCGGACGGGUGAGUAACACGUGGAUAACCUACCUAUAAGACUGGGAUAACUUCGGGAAACCGGAGCUAAUACCGGAUAAUAUAUUUAACCGCAUGGUUCAAUAGUGAAAGACGGUUUUGCUGUCACUUAUAGAUGGAUCCGCGCCGCAUUAGCUAGUUGGUAAGGUAACGGCUUACCAAGGCAACGAUGCGUAGCCGACCUGAGAGGGUGAUCGGCCACACUGGAACUGAGACACGGUCCAGACUCCUACGGGAGGCAGCAGUAGGGAAUCUUCCGCAAAGGGCGAAAGCCUGACGGAGCAACGCCGCGUGAGUGAUGAAGGUCUUCGGAUCGUAAAACUCUGUUAUUAGGGAAGAACAAAUGUGUAAGUAACUAUGCACGUCUUGACGGUACCUAAUCAGAAAGCCACGGCUAACUACGUG